GUCGCCAGCUGGUUUUUUUUUCUCUUCCCCCCCCCCCGGCCCCUGACCCCCUCCUUGAGGAAGGGGGGGCUGUGAUUUAAUAGGGUGAUGCCCCCCCACCCCACCCCGAUCCCUGUGACUCCUUCAGGGGGGUUUUUUGGGGGGGGGGGAGCUGCAGAGGGGUGUUGGUGGGUUUGGUUUUGUUUUUUUGUUUUUUUUUUUUAGUUUUCAAAUCGAAUCUUGCUUAAAAAAAGAAAAAAAAAGACAAAAAGAAAAAAAAAAAAAGGAAAACAGGUUGAAGGUUUUUUAUUAAUUUAAAAAUAAUAAAAAAAAAAAAAUCAGUUUUUUAACAGCAGCUGUCCCCGACCUCUCUCUGUGCUACGAGGGGGUGACCUUGGGGAUUUGGGGACACCCAGGGGGGACUUGGGGACACCCAUGGGGGCUGGUCCCUGUAGGAUCUGAUCUCUGGGGGAUCCUGUCCCUGUAGGGUCUGGUUCCUGGGGGAUCUCCCGGGGGUCUCCCAGCCCCACCAGGCGCUGUGGGAUCGGUGCCAUCCGGAGCCAGCACGUGUCCCUGUGACCGCUGUCCCCAAAAGCUGGGGAUCGGGGCUGGCACCGCUGGGUUUUCCUGCUGUUCCCAGUGUUUUUAGGCAAACCCCACUCUCAGGAUGGGGUUUCCCAAACAUCCCCUCUCGCAGACACAGCCAGACCCCUGCCAGCACCCCAAGGGCUCUUUGGGGACCCCCUGGGGGACACCAGCAAGGGCUGGGGCACGCAGCCCCGAUCCUAUAGGGACGCACCAGCUGGGAUGGGGACCCCAAAGACAAAAAAAGGGGAAGAAAAAAAAAAAAGCCCCCACUGGGGCCACUCACCCGCUCCAGAGCCGGCAGCACCCAUGGCUAAAGGAGGGCCCCCCCCGGGUGCUGGGGUUUAUGGGGGAACUGGGAGGCGCAGCUGGGCCUCGUCCCACAAACGGGAUUAGGGUCAGGGCUGCCCUUUGCUGGCUGCUUUUCUCUGGGUUUUCCCCAUUUUGGCCCCAGAGGUGGCACCGGGGGACCCCAGACCCACUGGGGUAGGGCCCUGGGGUGCUCUGCCCGUGGGGACCCCCCCAAAAGCAGGAUUUUAGCCCCUAUUUCCCCCCCCCUAAAGACCAAACCCAUUGGGACAACGCACCAAGAGGGGGGCUGUGUGGGGCCAAAGGAGGAGGGGACACCCAGGAUAACACAGGGGAUCCCCCCGUGGUUUCUGGGCACGGGAGAGGUGACCCUAAAAGAGGGGGACCCAAAGCACCCCCCCGAGCCAGCACCUCGAGGUGGGGAACCACCGGCACCGCAGCAAUAAACCCGGCCCCAUAAAACA
rnacentral:lncRNA from 1 species